rnacentral:rRNA from 1 species
AAUCAACGCUGGCGGCAGGCCUAACACAUGCAAGUCGAACGCUCCGCAAGGGGAGUGGCGCACGGGUGAGUAACACGUGGGAACCUACCUUCUGGUACGGAACAACCAAGGGAAACUUUGGCUAAGACCGUAUACGACCUCCGGGUGAAAGAUUGAUCGCCGGAAGAGGGGCCCGCGUCCGAUUAGGUAGUUGGUGAGGUAACGGCUCACCAAGCCUUCGAUCGGUAGCUGGUCUGAGAGGAUGGCCAGCCACACUGGGACUGAGACACGGCCCAGACUCCUACGGGAGGCAGCAGUGGGGAAUAUUGGACAAUGGGCGCAAGCCUGAUCCAGCCAUGCCGCGUGAGUGAUGAAGGCCUUCGGUUGUUAAG